CAGUAGCCACGGGAAUACGAAGGGUGCAAGCGUUACUCGGAAUUACUGGGCGUAAAGCGUGCGUAGGUGGUGGUUUAAGUCCGUUGUGGAAGCCCUGGGCUCAACCUGGGAAUUGCAGUGGAUACUGGAUCACUAGAGUGUGGUAGAGGAUAGUGGAAUUUCCGGUGUAGCAGUGAAAUGCGUAGAGAUCGGAAGGAACAUCUGUGGCGAAGGCGACUAUCUGGGCCAACACUGACACUGAGGCGCGAAAGCGUGGGGAGCGAACAGGAUUAGAUACCCGCGUAGUCCCUGUCUCUUAUAA
rnacentral:rRNA from 1 species